UGCUGAAUCCAUGGGCAGGCAAGAGAGAACCAGGCGAACUGAAAGAUCUUAGUAGCCCGAGGAAAAGAAAGCAAAAGUGAUUCCCGUAGUAGCGGCGGGCAAAAUGGGAGCUGCCUAAACCGUGAAAAUGGGGUUGUGGUAGAGCAAUACAAGCGUCGUGCAGCUAGGAGAAGCAGCCUGAAUGUUGUACCCUAGAUGGCGAAAGUCCAGUAGCCGAAAGCAUCACUAGCUUAGGCUCUGACCCGAGUAGCAUGGGGCACGUGGAAUCUCAUAUGAAUCAACAAGGACCACCUUGCAAGGCUAAAUACUCCUGGGUGACCGAUAGCGAAGUAGUACCAUGAGGGUAAAGAACCCCCAAGAGUGAAAUAGAAUAUGAAAGCG
rnacentral:ncRNA from 1 species